AUAAAAAMCCAACGCCYUUCGGGGCUUCUUGGUGAUUCAUGAUAACUUUCACGGAUCGCAUGGCCUUGCGCCGGCGACGGUUCAUUCAAAUUUCUGCCCUAUCAACUUUCGAUGGUAAGGUAUUGGCUUACCAUGGUUUCAACGGGUAACGGGGAAUUAGGGUUCGAUUCCGGAGAGGGAGCCUGAGAAACGGCUACCACAUCCAAGGAAGGCAGCAGGCGCGCAAAUUACCCAAUCCCGACACGGGGAGGUAGUGACAAUAAAUACUGAUACAGGGCUCUUUUGGGUCUUGUAAUUGGAAUGAGUACAAUUUAAACCUCUUAACGAGGAACAAUUGGAGGGCAAGUCUGGUGCCAGCAGCCGCGGUAAUUCCAGCUCCAAUAGCGUAUAUUAAAGUUGUUGCAAGUUAAAAAGCUCGUAGUUGAAACUUGGGCCUGGCUGGCARGUCCGCCUCACCGCGUGUACUUGUCCGGCCGGGCCUUUCCUUCCUGGAAGAACCUCAUGCCCUUCACUGGGUGUGUU
rnacentral:rRNA from 1 species